CAGUAGCCGCGGUAAUACAGAGGGUGCGAGCGUUAAUCGGAUUUACUGGGCGUAAAGCGUGCGUAGGCGGCUAAUUGAGUCGGAUGUGAAAUCCCCGAGCUUAACUUGGGAAUUGCAUUCGAUACUGGUUAGCUAGAGUGUGGGAGAGGAUGGUAGAAUUCCAGGUGUAGCGGUGAAAUGCGUAGAGAUCUGGAGGAAUACCGAUGGCGAAGGCAGCCAUCUGGCCUAACACUGACGCUGAGGUACGAAAGCAUGGGGAGCAAACAGGAUUAGAUACCCCCGUAGUCCCUGUCUCUAUACA
rnacentral:rRNA from 1 species